AUACAGUUUGGUUGUGACAAACAUGAAUAUUUCCAUAAUCAGGACAAGUAAGGUGUAAGCAGCUCACACAUACACAAGCAAGCAGUAUAAUGUAGGACAUUCCGUAAGUGUUUUUCACUUACAAAAAAAGGGGGGCUUAGGAGUAUCAGUAGAAUUUGUAGUAAAUUUGCAGCUCCUGAAUCAAACUGAGCCAAUGAUCGUGUUUGAAUUGUCCUUUUUCAAACAUAUACGGCCUAUUGAAUUUUAGAGACUGAGCAGAAUCUCAGGUAACUAUGGGCUUCACGCAAAGAGAACAAAUGCUGUCAAAGAGCUGAAAUAUGGAUUUGCUACUUGAAGUUCAAAAGCUGACAUAGAAUAUGGCUAAUGAGUACAUGAAGAGAAAAGGAACAGGAACAAGAAACUUCUGCAACAUCAGUGACUUUAGUGCAAUUGAAUGUUUCAUGUCAUUGAGUAGAUACCUUGAGUUUUUCACUGGAGCAUAAGAGUGUUUUUUUUAAAGGCAAAGAUGUUAAUUCAAAUCCAUAGAUUUUCCACUGGGUAGUAAUUAAAGACAUUCAAAUUAUAACCUCUAGGGAAUAUACUUUACAUUAUCCUGAGAGGUAUGUUUAUUUCAGGUUUUCUUUAAGUUCAUAGGAUUUAUGUUACAGACAGGUAAGGGAUAUGUUACAGAUAGGUAAGGGACAAAUUACAGUGCCCAGGUCAUGUAGAGGAGGGUUGUGCAAUUCUUAGCUAUAUCUAGAUCUAAACUUCAGCCUUUUCUCCCUUCCGGUUUAAUGUCUUCAUUUCCAUAACAAUGUUUGUUACUCUACUUGAAAAAAGAGAAACAUUCAAAACACACUUUUGUUCUCUGUUUUAGGAUUAAAGCACGAUUCCUCUUGUUAAAGCUCAGUUUGAAAAAUUCAUUUAUAACAUAAACAUGAAGAACAUUAUAAUGCCACUCCAGUUCCCAGCUGCCUCCACCUGUUCUCUGCCUCUCUUAAAUGGAAAAUAAGCAUCCAACAAUUGCCUGGCCUUAUUCCACUUGGGAAAUACCAGCAGGGAAAUCUGCUGUCCAUUUAAGCCAUUUUUACCUGCUUGAAGCCAAGAGGGUCACCAGCUGCAGAUUCAAGGGAUCCUGACAAAUUGGAGAGAAGCAGACUCCAAAUGGGAUGGGAGAGAGAGUGAGAAGGUUACUCAUACAAUCCCAUUUUUUAAAUUGUUUUUGUUUGUUUGUUUGUUUGUUUGUUUUCCCUUAGGUUAUUCAGUCAGAAUGUCCUGAAGUGAUGUCUGUCUAAAGUGGUGACUUCAUUAAUGAAAGUCCUUGCAGAAAUAAACCAUGAACCAGAAAGCUUUCAUCUCAGGUGACCUCCUAAAAAACAUCCAAGAACUAGGGGGGAGACGUCAUUAGGUCUGCAGCCAUGACCUUUAAACUGUAGAGCCUUGUCACUACAAGGAGUGGCAAACGUAAAGUUGCACCUGUAACUGCCAUCUAGGGGUUGAGGCUGGGGAUGGAACUGGCACCCAGCCUAGCUCCAGCAAGCCAUGGGCACGUGAAAUUUCACAUGUGGGUCUUACUGCAGCUAUCCUUGAGAGCCUGAGGAAAGGGAAUGGUUGGGGAGGGCUUGACCAGAUAUCUGACAAGAGGCUUGUUCAUUCGAGUUAGAUUUAUUACUGAUGUCUACCAAUGUUGUGGUUUUCAUCUGCAAGUGUGUCUCAACCCUGGAGUACAUUUGGUAUUGUCAAGUUUUAAUGUCAAAUUAACUUGCCUGAAGUUGAAGCCAGGCUUUUGCAGUAUCCAGGCAACUGUUCCAAAACAGUGGUUAACAGGAGGCUGGGAUGAGUGGAGCUGGAGGCAGCGCGCCCGCCAGCAGCUGCACAUCCACUGUCUCUCACUGUUUUGAGCAAGGUUGUUUGUACGUGGGCACCUGAGGGACUGUGUGACCAUGUUUGGACUGGAGUCAGAGUCCUGCUCAUCAUGGGGCUUUUUUCUCCCAGCUUCCCGUAACAGCCUUUUCAUGACAAAGCAGGUUUGAAAAAUGGUGCUUUCACGUACAGCAAGGCACUGAAUCCCAAAUCAGGAGAUAUAAACCAGGAGUGGGGCAAGUUUUCUCACCCACACUCUACUCAAUUCCUUUGCCCUUUUGCCUGGAGCCUCUUCUGAUCCUCCUUUUCCAUCAGUUGAACCAGAGGAGACAGAAAAUACCUAUGAACUGUCUCUGACCUUGAAAAGCCCUGGUGACCUGGUAGCAGGCACAGCACAUCGAUCUAUGUUUCUGGUGUUCUGCUGAUCCCCCUGUUCUCCUCAGGGGUGACCAGACUGCUUGCAUUUCAGUGCCAAACUAAGGUUCUCGAGAGAAGAGGUGUUUUUCUUAAGGGGAACUAAAACUCUUUGUGUUUAGUCCAUAAAGAUGACACUUGCAGAGGGUAAUUUGGGAUGCCUAAGGCAGGUUCUGGUGCUGAAUUCCCCUCUGAAGGUGGCCACGUCUCUACAUAUUACCUGCAUAGAAAACCUGUUGUGCAAAAUCUCUGCUGGUCAGUUGUGUUUCUCAGAGUUGCAAACCAUUCUUGACCAGAUGCUAGCUCCCAGUCUUACCUUGCUGACUCAUUCUGCAAGUGUUCCACCUAAAAUGCGGGCAUGGAUGUAUUGUUUCAUUUAAUCUAGACUUUAAAUUAGAAAUAGGGCUUUGGUUUGUGUGCAAGGAGGGAGGCAGCACUAGCUAGACCUCAUUUGCAGCCACAAUGGCACACAUUGUUUAGUUCAAGUGGUCCAUCUUCACAAAUCAUGCACAGUUGUGAAAUGUCAUGAUAUUGCUGAAUGCUGAAUGCAAUGCAUACCAUGACACCUCAUCUGAGCUCAUGACCAGUUCAGAGCUCAGCCUAAAUGAAGGGAGUAGCUAAGCAUCAAUAAAAUCUUUCAGGAUCAGUUAGGAAGAGAACAGCACUGAAAGCUGCAGGCUAUUGUGCUUUCUGCCUAACCCACAGUAACUCUCAAAUAAGAAUAUUGAACUGAAUUAGAUUGACUUGUAUCCAGCACUCUGCUCAGUACACUGCUUUCCUGCCUGGCAUUUGAAUGGAAAUAUUGCUGUUCUACAGCAUGGCACAAAGGCUGAACAUGGCCAUGUGCUUACUGACUGCUUAUGGUCAAGCUACCCACCUGGAUGAUGUGUUGGUGAGUAUGAAACCGCAGACACCCCCAGCAGUAAUUCCCAGUGAUGAGGCUCACUGGUGAUUAUCAAGGCCACAGUAAAUGGGUGAUGAAUCAUGAGGGCCUCCUAUUGGGGGAGGGCAGUGCUUGCAGAGCCACAUGAUUGUGCCUGUGCUGCCACAGGAACUCAGCUGGCCAGCCAGGGUCAGCAACCCUGCAGAAUGGGUCCUGGAAAACGAAAAGUUGAGAAUAAUAUGUUUCUCUGGCAUAUACAGACCUGGCAUGGAAUAUGAUUGCAAAAGAAGGUAGUGGAAGCAUCUUACUACCCCAGCACAAAGCAUUGCUGUCACUAGGUACAUGACUAAAUACUGCUCUUCCAGACACAAGAGCUCAGAUUUGUUUUGGAUCUGAUUCAUCCAAAGUAUACUGACAAGGGCAGUAAAUCCUGGAUUAUUUUUUUUCCUGAUGUAUUCUCAAUGUUGCUGUGUAAUUCCCUUUUAUAGAGCUGGCUUGUUGAGAUAUAUGUUCCACUCCUAAUUUCCACUUCUUCCUACUUUUGUCUAACUAUUUUCUUGCAGAAGAUCCGAGUGGAGAAGAGAAAAAGCAAGGUGGCUGGGGACAUGGCAUACAGGCACAGGUUCACUGCAAAACUCUCCCCUACUUGGUCUGCCUGAAGACAACUGAAAAAAAAGACACAAAGCUGCUUUUUCACAGUAUUUUACAAAUGUUGUUAUACUCUCACUUGUUACAGUGUAUGGCUGCACUCUUUCUCCUGUUCAGAGUUUGGGAAUCCUUUACAGUGGAUACUUCAGAGCUGUAAGCACUGACUUUGCUGUCUCUUACAUUUCACUGCCAUGGGAAAACACCACAUCCUCAAAAAUGUCCGUGCCAAUUUAGAAAUCUCUGAUUUUGACACAGAUUAGUAUCAUAUCUUUAUCUCCUCUUCUGCAUUCUUUUCAGUAUUUUGUUUCUGAGUUCAGAGUCUUGCCAGCCCUUAAUCUGUGCUUGCCUGAAAUUAGGCAUAUGAGUAAUUCCACGGAAAUGCUGCUGCUCAGAGAUCUCAGCCGUUGCUUUUUAAAUUGAGACUUGGAGCAUCAGCCUGAAAUGGUCUUUCUGUAUGUGGGGCUUGUAAAACAUUCUCUUUGGUGCUUGUAGUUACUACAUCAGGGACCGUAACAUUAUUAUAACUUGUUGUAUCUGUAAUUGGCCAGCCAAACAGCCUAACAUGUUACCAGUGGGACAGGGAUGGCAUCUCAGCCAUAAGAAAGCAAAGUUCAGCUGCCUGAGGCCAUCCUUAAUAUGACAAUUGUGUUACCACGUGUUGAUGACUCAAAACCACAGAGAGCUAUGGGGCAAUUCAAACCCCUGCAUCUGGAGGGUGUCAGUGUCCAGCCCCCUCCAAACACCCCAGCUCAUUGGCACUAAUUUUUUUCUCUGUGAAAAUGCCCUGAGGCCACUUUACAAGUGGAUUUAUAGCUCUGAGUAGAAUAGCAAUACUCUGGGGGCUGAACCCCACGGAAACAACUCAAGCAAGUAGCUCUAAUCUGUAAGCUACUACUUUACUUAAUUUUUUUUCUUCUAAGCUUGUGCAUCUGAUGUCUCUUCAACUCUGCCCUGUGUUUUGAACACCAAUAAUCAGAUAUUAGUGGUCUAUACCCCUGAAGACAGGCUUCAGGUAUUUUUUUACCCUUCCCUCAGAGAACAAAGAGUUGUGCUACACACAGUAAAUUAUUUCAGUAGCUAAAACUUCAUAGAACAGGUGGGACAGGAGAGAAAAAUUAUAAAACCUAUCAACAACUGAGACCGAGUCCGUCCUCACUAAGGACAAGCACCUCCCAGAAAUGUAAAUCCCCACCUCUCCCUACCCAGACUUUUAAUAUGAUGUUAAAAAAGGUCUAAUAAAAUGUUCUUGGUUUAGUUAAUCAUUCCUUCAAGCUCUCUCAGCCAAGCUGAGUUGCACUCCAUGCGGUCAGCUUGCUCCUUGUACUCACAGGCAACGUUCCCUUUUUUCAUUAGUAAAUCAACCGCCCAGUUUACUCCAGCACCGCAACAGUGUCAGGGCCUCAUUUUCCAUGGCAUGAAACCAUUUGGACUUCACCUGCUAGCAAACUGAGCUCUGCUUUUUUUCCCAGUAGACAGACUGUUCCUCCCUCAUAUGUCUUGACUUUGUCUCAAAAGUUUCUUCAGACAAUGUACAGGACAAUUUCUGAGUUAUAACCCAGCCCCCCAAAGUAGCUUAAUGUUUUUCCCACGGUGAAGCAGGUAAUUUAGAAAAAAAGCUUCUCAAAACCUGUUGUGGGUUUGUGACCCAGUUGUUAUUUACAAUCCUUAUUACUAGUUUGUCAUAAGUAGGCACUGUAAAGUCCCAGCAGACUGGGAGGCAUGAGUUUUAAAAUAUGUACGUAUUGACAGUGUCUAAUAAGUUUUAAAAUAUCAGGAUUAUUUUUAAAGUUUUCAGACCCUUUCAGGCUGGCAGAAAUGUGCUUGUGAAGAAAUCAAACUGAAUUGCAGAUUCAGAAAAGGCCCUAAGGGGAGGGGAGAAACCUCCCUCUCCCCAGCUGCCAGCAAUGGGAAGAAACACUGAAAACAACAGAGAUUUUUAAGAGCAAAACAAUAAAAAAAAUAAAUUAAAAAAACACACACACAAAAAAACCACAAAGAAAAAAAAAAAAAAGAAGAAAACACCCUUCACUGGGUUAAAAACUGACUGGAUGACCAGGCCCAGAGAGUGAUGGUGAAUGGAGAUGCAUCCAGUUGGCACCCGGUGACCAGCAGUGUCCACCAGGGAUCAGUACUGGGCCCAGUCCUAUUCAACAUCUUUAUUGAUCACCUGGAUGUGGGGAUUGAGUCCACCCUCAGUAAGUUCACAGAUGACACCAAGCUGGGAGGGAGUGUCGAUCUGCCGGAGGGUAGGAAGAAGCUGCAGGGGGACCUGGACAGGCUGGGUUGAUGGGCCAAGGCCAAUGGCAUGAAAUACAAGACCAAGUGCAGGGUCCUGCACUUUGGCCACAAUAACCCCAGGCAGCUCUGCAGGCUGGGGGAAGAGUGGCUGGAGAGCAGCCCGGCAGAGAGGGACCUGGGGGUGCUGGUUGACAGGUGGUUGAGCAUGAGCCAGCAGUGUGCCCAGGUGGCCUGGAAGGCCAAUGAUAUCCUGGCUUGUAUCAGGAAUAGCUUGGCCAGCAGGACUAGGGAUGUGAUUCUCCCCCUGUACACAGCACUGCUGAGGCCUCACCUCAAGAACUGUGCACAGUUCUGGGCCCCUCACUUCAAGAAGGAUAUUGAGGUGCUGAAGCAGGUCCAGAGGAGGGCAAUGAGGCUGGUGAAGGAACUAGAGGGAAAGUCUUAUAGGGAUAGGCUGAGGGAGCUGGGGUUGUUGAGCCUGGAGAAGAGGAGAUUCAGGGGGACCUUAUCACUCUCUACAACUACCUGAAGGCAGGUUGUAGUCAGAUGGGGGUCAGGCUCUUUUUCCAGGCAACUAGCAACAAGACAAGAGGUCAUGGCCUCAAGCUGCUCCAGGGGAGGUUUAGGUUGGAUAUUAGGAAGUACUUCCUCACAGAAAGGGUCAUUAGACAUUGGAAUGGACUGCCCAGUGAAGUGGUGGAAUCACCAUCCCUGGAGGUGUUUAAGGAAAGACUGGAUGUGGCACUUAGUGCCAUGGUCUAGCUGAUGUGGUGUUAGGUCAUAGGUUGGACUUGAUAAUCUCAGAGGUCUUUUCCAGUCUCAAUAAUUCUGUGAUUCUGUGAUUCGGUGAAAUGAGGCAGAGGAGCUCCACCUUUAACAGGGGAAGAUAAAAGACAUAAAAAAAUAGGGGGCUCUAAGUAACCCUGGAAACUGGAGGGGAAAGGAGGGGCUUUAGCCUAGCCUCUGCAAGCUAAAUGAAGCAUCAGAGCAACUAAGGAUGAGCCUUGCUGCCAAACAGGAUCUGCAAAGCCAUUUUCUUUCUGGAUGCUUUUCUUUUUCAACAGUGCUUGCAACUGCAAUGACUAAACCAUCAUUGUUAGCUUGCUGAUGUAGAAUAAAACGUGCUAGCUUCUUCUGAAAUUCAUCCAGCAUUAAAAGCAACUCAGAGAAAUCUGACAUCAACUAAGAGUCCUGGAGAUGAUGAACCCAAAACACCAUUUUCAGCAGCACUCACAAAGCAAGACACUUUUGAGGCUCCCCAGCUGUGGAGCGUCCUUAAGGAGUUAAGCUAGUAGAAGAGGCCAGCUGCACACUAUAAAUCUGUCACUUGAACUUGUUGUUAAUUAGUUGUGAAAUUCUUCUUUGUGAACCUACCUGUAGUUUUUAAUUUGCUACACCCAGCCUGCAAGAUACUUUCCCCUAAAAUUGUGUUUGUGACCUGAAGUAAUCAGACCUUGUAGUGAAGGGGAGAAGAGAAACCUUCCUCACUGUUAUUCAUCUCUUCUCCAGCUAGGGAAAGGCAGAGGCACAGCAACCAAAGACUUUGCAAAUGAACUCCUACUGUCACACAAUAUUACAAUACUGUGGUGGGGUUUUUUAUUCCCCCCCCCCCCUGCCUUGUUCGUUGGGUGUUGGUUGCACACACAGCUGCUACAGUUCUCGUUUUGUGGCAUCCAGCAUUCUCCCUGCACUGGGCUUUAUUUUGGAAGACAACAAAGCAGACACAGCUGUGCUGGCACUGCCAGCAGCAGCUGAUGGCAGAAAGCAGGGUCAGAAGGAAAAGCAUCUGCAAAUGGUAAAUGCAGAAAAAUUGCACAGAAAAAUGCAGAGACUGAGCUGAGUUUGAGACGAUUUAAAAAGUCGGGAGAUUCAAAUGGUUCAGAGAGUUUACAAAACUGGCAAAAGUAAUGGGCAAAAAAAGGUGACCAAAAUAAUGAAACAUAAAAAGUAGGAUCUAAGUGGAAAUCUGAAAUAGAAAAGUUUGUUAGGUUUUUUAAAUCACAAUUCCUAAUCAGGCAGGAAGCUACCUGAGACCUCAGAGACCUCUUCAGCUCAAAGACUAAACACCCCUAAAGAAGAAAGAUUUUGUGUUCCCACCAGGCAUAUGCAGAGAUUUAAGACCACGGAAGAUAUGUGGGUCCUGCAAGAGAGCAUGGAAAUAUUGCUUUGGAGCAGCCUCGCUUUUAUGUCUUCCUUCAAAUUCAGUAAUGGAAUUCAAAGAGCCAAUAAAUAUUGGAAGAAGAAAGCAAAGUAUUCUUACUUUUCAAGAAAACACAGAACUAACAAGAACUCCACAGCAACUUUUUCCCAAACUAAGCAGACACUGUUGAGCAUUUUUUACAUGUUAGAUAGUGAAUCUUGAAAUAAAGGAUAAUCCACCUACUAGGUUUCUGGGCAACCAUGUGGAGGGAUGAUUGGCUGUUUAUGCUGUUUAUGUUAAAAUUCUUUGUAUGGGUUAAAUAGAUCUGCAGUCCAGUUUCUGCCUGGAGGGAAGCUGAGAGCAGAAUAUUCCACUGUAAAUUCUUCUGACACUGUAUUUUCAGCAUUGGCAAUGCUCUGUUUAGGGAAAGAAGUCACAAAAAGGUGGCAAAAUUUGGCAAGGAUUAAUCUGCAGUUGCAUACUUUUUUUUCCAACUCUCUUUUUAACCCCACAUGCAAGACAACACAUCUCAGGAAUUCUUCUAGUUUGGAAGGGUUUAGGCUGAAUCUUCUUGUUUUAUGUUGAGAGAGUCCCACUCACAAAGAUGGCAGUCCCUUGAGUCUGCCCAAGGUGGGUGAAGAGCACACAACUUGACAUUUCCUGGGAUGUUUGAACAGGAGAAAAAGAGGUGAACAGUUUUGAGGUAGGAUAGCAGAGGGACAUGGGGGUGGCUGUGGAAGGAGGUGACUCUAGCAUGGCUGGUACUGAGCUGGGGCUGGAGAGCACCGGGAAGCUGGGCUCUGCCUUACCUGGGGGCCUGAGGAUAUUUGCACCCAGAGGACACGCUCCUCACCUUUCUGUGCUCUGCUGGUGCCUGCUGGCCCAGAGUGGUUGGCAUCUGUGCUACCAAUCCCUUUUCUCUCCAGCAUCCACGUUGCCUGACCCUAGGAAUGGCCCCUAAUCACACCAUCUCCCAACUUGCCUGGUGUCCUCUGGGGGGAUUAUUCAUCCAAGCCCCAGGGUGCAGGGCAUCCACCCGGCUGUACAGCAGCUUGGUGUAACCUGGUCUCAUUCAAUCUACCUGUAUAGUCAGAGCUGACAUUUCUCACCCAACAAUACACAGAAAAUAACGUGAGCUGGACAAGGAGCUGUGCUUGAAAGUGGUGUUAAAUAAAUGUCCAAAGUGAUGCUUGCAUGACUGCCCCCUUCAAGCUCAGUUCAAAUUGGUUGUGUGCUGACAGUGGCAGGUCACUAGUUUCCAUUGAGAUUUCAUUGUUGAUCAGUGAAUAUACAGACUAGCCACAGGGUAAUUUCUUCUCCUUAUUUAAUCAAAUGGAAACAUUCAAUCCAUUUUUGCAUUCACACAACAGCCAUUGUGGUUUAUUUAAGUAGGUUAAAUAUCAAUCAGCACCAAAAAUACCCCAGCAGCACAACAACCCUCUCCCUUUCCUUUGCAAUACUUUCUUUAUCUUCCUUGGUCUUGUGACUCCUCAGAAGUGUUUCCUUCAGUGUCCCUUGGCACUUUUUUGCUGGUACACAGAGCCUUUUGAUUUGAUUUAGUGCUGGGGCUUCAAGGGCAGCAGUGCAGCUACUCCAGCUCCAGCACAGGGGGAAGAAGUGGCAAUGUCCUUCCCUCAUUAAAAUCAGCAGCGAAGCUCUCCAUGGACUUUAAAUGGAGCAUAAUGAGGACAGGUUGAUUUUUUUCACUAAAUAUAGGCAGCACAUUCUGCCCUCCAGGUGAUUAGAAAUAGGCGAGAAGAAGAUGCAGGUUUCAUACAGCUGGACUCACUUCAGCAGAGUGUGAUGGAAGGAGGGUGGGAGAGGCUUUUCCAAAGGCUCUCCAUGUGGGUCACAGCCAUGGUGUGCACUUCAUAAGCCUGAGGAGGAGGAGUUUUCUUUAAUUCUAUUAUCACCUCCUCCCAUUUGGCUGCAUCCCAUGGGUGGACAAUCCCUUCAGGCUGGUGUAAAACGGGAAUUGCAGGAGAUUUCCUUUCUUGUUUGUUUUCGGUAGGAGGAGCCAUCAUUGGAGGGACAGGUUUGAUAUCUCCUAUCUCCUUCCAAUCUGACAGUACGGGAUCUCCUUGAAAGGAGUCCCCUGGGAAGGAACACUUUAACCACCUGAGGAUUUUACCAGCAAAAUUGACUGAUUGGCUAUGUGGACCGUACAGGGAUGCAAGUCCACCAGGGCAAGGCAGAUCUAGGUGUGGCAGUUGUUUUGGAAACAUUCUUCUUCAGCCAGAGAGGCUGGAAUUGGGGAUUUGGUGUAAUUUCUCAUUUUCAUAUUCCCUGUUACAGCUCUACACAAUGUGGAAAAUUGAGAGGUGGAAGCGAGGGAGCUGGAGUGAUGUCAUUUGCGUAAGGAGGUCUGGAGAAGGUUUCUGUCACCACCUGACAUGACUUGGCUCCUCAGGUCCUGCAAAACAGAAGAGAUGGGAGUAAACUCUUCCCAGCUAGUGAACACUGAGCCAUUGCAGAAUUAAAAGAAAGUCAAACAGCUCUCAAGAAGAUGUGAUUGUUUGAUAAACAAGAACAUUUUAUGGUAAUCUCUGUAUUUACAAACACGAGGAUGGGUCAAAUGUCUGCUCCUUAGAAUUUUUUUUUUUUCCUAACAGGAAUUUGCUCUAAAGCCUAGCACAUUAGAAAAUGCUUGUGCUAAAAGUAAUUUAUAAAAAGGCUCUACCCAUGCAUACUCUUUCACUCACAAAAUUCACUGUUUUCCAAGGACUGUUGUUUUCCAAACCACAGACCACUUGAUACUUUUGCAAGGUAAUGUGGACCACUUUAUCACUAGAUCACAGAAACUGUAAAUCUCAGACAACAUUUAACUUUAGGCACAUCCAGGAAAGAGUGCUGAUGUAAUGUCUGAUGCUGUAAACUCAAAGGCAUCAAAACAGGAGAGGAUGUCAAAGACACCUACCUGCGUAACUUUGGUGACAAUAUGCCUGAGUAACUCGUACACAGCUGGAUCUAUACUGACUGUUCAUGGUGCUUUCCAUGAAUAUACAAUUUCAACUAACAAAAUGUCACUUGUGACUGUGGGAAAAAUGUAUAAAUACAUUUAACAUCUUGUUGAAAUGUAUGGACUGGAAAGAAUUCAACGUUCCAUCUGUAAUAUGUGAUUAUUUGCUUGUACUUUGCAGACCAAACUAUAACUAAGAAGGUAGAAUCUAAAAAUAAAUCCUGAUUGCUGGGAAAAGAUACUUACAUUUCAGACAUGCUGCUUAUAAAAUGUUGCAUGCUGCUUGCAGGUUUUCAUCCUUUUAGAAAAACACAUAUAAAUGAAAGA